GACGAACGCUGGCGGCGCGCCUAACACAUGCAAGUCGAACGAGCGAGCGAGAGCUUGCUUUCUCGAGCGAGUGGCGAACGGGUGAGUAACGCGUGAGGAACCUGCCUCAAAGAGGGGGACAACAGUUGGAAACGACUGCUACUACCGCAUAAGCCCACGGCUCGGCAUCGAGCCGGGGGAAAAUGAGCAAUCCGCUUUGAGAUGGCCUCGCGUCCGAUUAGCUAGUUGGUGAGGUAACGGCCCACCAAGGCGAAGAUCGGUAGACGGACAGAGAGGUUGAACGGCCACACUGGGACUGAGACACGGCCCAGACUCCUGCGGGAGGCAGCAGUGGGGAAUAUUGCACAAUGGGGGAAACCCUGAUGCAGCGAGGCCUGGUGGAGGAAGAAGGUCUGCGGAUUGUAAACUCCUGUUGUAGGGGAAGAUAAUGACGGUACCCAACAAGGAAGUGACGGCUAACUACGUG
rnacentral:rRNA from 1 species